UACGAAGGGUGCAAGCGUUACUCGGAAUUACUGGGCGUAAAGCGUGCGUAGGUGGUCUCUUAAGUCCGUUGUGAAAUCCCCGGGCUCAACCUGGGAAUGGCAGUGGAUACUGGGAGGCUGGAGUGCGGUAGAGGGUAGUGGAAUUCCCGGUGUAGCGGUGAAAUGCGUAGAGAUCGGGAGGAACACCAGUGGCGAAGGCGGCUACCUGGACCAGCACUGACACUGAGGCACGAAAGCGUGGGGAGCAAACAGG
rnacentral:rRNA from 1 species